rnacentral:rRNA from 1 species
UAAGCGAGUAGUGAAUCUAACGGCUCAACCGUUAGGCUAUUGCUCGAACUGGUAAACUCGAGAAUGGUAGAGGUAACUGGAAUUUCUAGUGUAGGAGUGGAAUCCGUAGAUAUUAGAAGGAACACCAAUGGCGAAGGCAGCUACCUGGACCAACAUUGACACUGAGGCACGAAAGCGUGGGGAGCAAACAGGAUUAGAUACCCUGGUAGUCCACGCCCUAAACGAUGCGAACUG